GUAGCAAUACGGAGCGGCAGACGGGUGAGUAACACGUGGGAACGUACCCUUUGGUUCGGAACAACACAGGGAAACUUGUGCUAAUACCGGAUAAGCCCUUACGGGGAAAGAUUUAUCGCCGAAGGAUCGGCCCGCGUCUGAUUAGCUAGUUGGUGGGGUAACGGCCCACCAAGGCUACGAUCAGUAGCUGGUCUGAGAGGAUGAUCAGCCACACUGGGACUGAGACACGGCCCAGACUCCUACGGGAGGCAGCAGUUAGGAAUCUUGGACAAUGGGCGCAAGCCUGAUCCAGCCAUGCCGCGUGAGUGAUGAAGGCCUUAGGG
rnacentral:rRNA from 1 species